UGGUCUUAGCUUGCUAAGGCCGAUGGCGACCGGCGCACGGGUGAGUAACACGUAUCCAACCUGCCGUCUACUCUUGGACAGCCUUCUGAAAGGAAGAUUAAUACAAGAUGGCAUCAUGAGUCCGCAUGUUCACAUGAUUAAAGGUAUUCCGGUAGACGAUGGGGUCGCGUCCUAUCAGCUUGACGGCGGGGUAACGGCCCACCUAGUCUUCGAUGGAUAGGGGUUCUGAGAGGAAGGUCCCCACAUUGGAACUGAGACACGGUCCAAACUCC
rnacentral:rRNA from 1 species